CGCGCGCACCGCCCCCGGCCCGCCCACCGCCGGAGCUCCGCGUGGCCCUAGCGCCCGCGGAUCCUCCCGCCGCGCCACGAGCCCCCGGCUCCACCAGCCGGCUUUCCACGACUCCCUGGCCGGCCGAAGCCCUGCCAACAAGUUUGCGCCGCGAUUCCGCGGGCAGAGAGACUGCAGGUGUCUGGAUUUGUAGGAGCUCGCCUCUCCUCCCAAGCCGUCCUCCGGGAUCCUCUCUAGUAAAAAUCGAGGAGCCCGGCGUCUCAGAGCGUAGUGUGGACACUCAAAUGCGUGACCGUCCCCUCCGCAGCCCCGGGCCGCUUAGCCCUCACCACUCAGGCCGGACAAGGAGGAAAGAGGGAGGGUUUAGAGGAGGGAGAGUCAUGGGUUCCCGCAUUCCAGCUUCGCAGACUGGCCACCGGGGAGUGUCAGAUACGGUCUGGGUGGAUUCAGACGUCCUCUGGGGCUUCCGCUGGGUCCCUUCCUAGGGGCUCGGAAGCCGGGUUUCGCGGGCCGGGGGCGGGAGGAGCUGUCCGGCCCACGAUGGUGCUGAAGCGCCACUCCAGCCAGUCACCAGCACCUCCUCGAGGCUGGGGUCCCCGCCGCCGCCACCGUGGGCCGCUCCGACCUGGUCCGCUAGGUGGCACCAUUGCUCCAACCAGCGGCUGGUGUCGGCGCCUGUGGCCGCGGGCGGAGGUCACUGUGGGCGUCCCAAGAGGGGCGAGGGGCGAAGAGGAAAGGGGGCUUCCCGAGUGGGGUCCCCAGGUCUCGGCUUCCAGACCCCUUCACAUCACGUCUUCUCUCCCACUCAGUCAUCAACAGGGCAUCUCGCCCUUGGGUCUGAACUCCAGGGCCUCAGGUCCCGGCCGCUCCGCCACUGGGAUGCUGGGCGCGCACUCCGGUCCCUACCGCGCCGUUUCACCUGGGCGCAUGCGCUGACCCGGCCAGCGUGCCCGGUCCGGACGGACGCAGCGGGGGCGGGGUCUGGCAGGGCAGGGGCGGGGCCGCGGGCGCUGACUGACAGCCCGACUGCGAGGCCGGGACGGUCCCUCCGCUCGCGAUCCGGCGGGAGGGAGGGGGGAGGGGCGGGAUUUCCUGCGGGAGGCGCCGAGCCGGCCUUGGAAAAGGAGGAGAGGGAGGAGAAAGGGGUAAGGGGGGCAGUGGGAGCCACCGUCCAGAGUGCCAGGGACCGGGCAGGGCCAGCCAGACCCCCGGCGGGGCGGCUGGGAAAGGCCUGGCCCAGCCUUCAGCAGAGGCACUGCACCUUUUCCAGACCCCUGAGACUUGUCCACUGCUGCUUCCCGAGGCCCGAGGGAAUGCUGACUGCUCUCUGGGUGGGCAUUGGUGCUCCUGAGCCACGCUGGGAAGAUUGGCGUGCCCAGUCCCAGCCCAUCCCUGGGCCGUCAGACGCGGCAAGCAGCUAUCUGUCCGGGUUUCCACACGGCCUCCACCCCCUCAGAGAUCGGUUUUCCUGCUUGUGGUGGCUGCUCAUGAAACAUUUUGAGGGAGUACCCGUCAGUGCGUAACAAGAAGCCCCCUGCUGGGACACCAGACAGGCUCCCCCAGGAGACACCUGGCCCUCCAAAGGUCCAAGGCAUGGCACCCUGACGCCUUGGCUUAGACCUAAAGUUUUCCUGCCUCUGCCCUGGACUCCUGAUCCCAGAGCCCAGCCCAGGGACCGGAAUGGGUCGUGAACAGGACCUGAUCCUCGCCGUCAAGAACGGAGAUGUGACUGGUGUGCAGAAACUUGUGGCUAAGGUCAAGGCCGCAAAGACAAGUGAGUGCUUGGUGGGGUGACUGUCUAGCAGAGAUCCUGCCCUGAGUGCUCAGGCUGCGGAGAGAGGCUUAUGGGUCUUUGAUUUGGGGUCUUGGGGUGGGAGGACUGUUCUGUUCUCUAAGGAGUGACUGUGGGAGAGCCAUAGAGGGAGCUGGGUCAUCCCUUGCUGUGUAUUGUUAGGCAAAUCAUGUAAUCUCUGUGGACCUCAGUUUCCUCACCUAUAGAGUGAAUGGGUUGAAAUGCAUUCAUUCAAGUUUGUUUGAGUGCCUACUGUGUGCCAGUUUGUUCUAGGCGCUGGGCCAUUAUGUGGCAGCAGUGAAUAAAAUAGACCAAAAUUCUUGGCCUCA
rnacentral:lncRNA from 1 species